rnacentral:rRNA from 1 species
AUUGAACGCUGGCGGCAUGCCUUACACAUGCAAGUCGAACGGCAGCACGGGUGCUUGCACCUGGUGGCGAGUGGCGAACGGGUGAGUAAUACAUCGGAACGUACCUUAUCGUGGGGGAUAACGCAGCGAAAGCUGUGCUAAUACCGCAUACGCCCUGAGGGGGAAAGCGGGGGAUCGCAAGACCUCGCGCGAUUAGAGCGGCCGAUGCCUGAUUAGCUUGUUGGUGGGGUAAAAGCCCACCGAGGCGACGAUCAGUAGCUGGUCUGAGAGGAAGAUCGGCGACACUGGGACUGAGGCACGGCCCGGACUCCUACGGGAGGCAGCAGUGGGGAAUUUUGNNNNAUGGGGGCAACCCUGAUCCAGCAAUGCCGCGUGAGUGAAGAAGGCCUUCGGGUUGUAAAGCUCUUUUGUCAGGGAAGAAACACCGGCUCUAACACANUCCGGGAAUGACGGUACCUGAAGAAUAAGCACCGGCUAACUACGUGCCAGCCGCCGCUGAAA